UUUCCACCAUAAUAAGCUAUUUAGAGCACAAUUAGACAGGGUUUUUAGGAUAUUUGUGAUUUAAAGAAAAAGAAAAAUUGUAAUUAAAUCAAAAGGCGUCUCUUAAUUAAGGGAUGGAAGAGCCGUUCCUUAGAGUACACGUGUCGAGCACACGGCGUUGAAAAAAAAAACCGAAGUCUUCUGUUCUUCGUCUCUUCCUCUCUAUCGCUUGGCUUUCGAAAAUGCAGACCAAUUCGGAGAGAGAGCGACAUAGAUGAUUUUUUUUUGUUGUGGAUUCCCUCCGAUUGAGGAGAUAUGGCCGGAGCUAAUGCUGACGAUGAUCGUAACAACCGCCGGAUUGCUAGCCAAUCGACGGAUUCCGCCGCAGAUGUCCCUGGAAAACGCGGGAACGAGGAUGCUUCGUCUCUUGUUGAAAUCUCGUGCUCGAUUUGCCUCGAGUUGGUGGUCGACGACGGUUCCAGAUCCAGUGCUAAGCUCCAAUGUGGUCACCAAUUCCAUUUGGGGUCAGUGGUUGUUUGCAAAUGGCUCUACUCGGCUGUUUCCUGAGUUUGUCAUGGAAGAUUGGAUCCCCGAAGAAGAUUUGUAUGCUUUAAGCUAUCCAGAGAUGGGUUUUGUUUUGGUGUGUAGUGAGCUUCAAGUGCUCUCACUGCAAAUCCACCCUUCAAGUCAGUUUCUUUCUUCCCCCUUUCAUCACUCUCUGUAUAUGAAUAUGAAUGAAUGUUUGAUAAUAACUUGGAUUGUCUACGUUGAUGUUUUCAUAUGUCUGUUCUUCCUUCUUCUCUCAUGUUUUUCCUUCACAUGUGUUUUUGUUAAAAAAAAUUUUAAGAACCUUUAAAUAAGAGACUCCCAUUGGAGCACAAAAAUAUUGGUUUCUCUUAACUAGGUCUUUUAAGUAACUUUAAUAAUUAAAAAUAAUUAAGAGACCCAAAGUGGGUUUUUGGGUUAAUGAUACUCUUAGAGCAUCAGCAGUGGGUCUCACACAAUCUCUUGUCAAAUAAAUAGAAGAAAAAAAUAAGAAAAAGAUGAAAGAGAAAAAAAAAAAAAAGGUAAAAGGAGAGAGACAUAUACGUUCAUAAAGGUACUCUAACAAAAAUGAGAAGAUAUUUUCUCCACUUGUCAUCUAAUAAGUGAUUAUAAUUUAUUUUUACUUAAAAUUUAUUUAUUUAACUAAUUUAUAUUAUUAAAUAAUGAUGAAAGGUGAUGGGAAGAAACUUACCCAAUGUUGAUGCUCGCAGUAUGCAAUUCCUGUAUCUUAGCAUUAACUGAUUUAAAAAAAAAAAUUGGGUAAAUUAAGAGAAAACAUAUCUUAAUUAGGGGAAGGAAGAUACCGUGUCUUGAGACACAUGUUGUGUUAUGGGUGUUCAGAAGCAAACCCGUGUCUCUCUCCUUUCUUCGAUUUCGUUGAAAUCACAGCAACUCUCCGACGGCGAUUUCUUCAUCUCUCAACGAUCUGAUGAUGGAUUCAGCGUCUCUCUCGUCGGACUCGUCGUCUCUGUCGGACUCUCGUCUGUCUCGUCGGACUCGCGUCUGUACCGAUCAAGUGACAUGAAGCUCUUUCGAAGAAGAGAACUACGUCGGACUCGUCGUAUUGACUUGUUUCUUUGAUUUCGGAUGUCUUUUGUGGAAUAUAUCAUUCUUCUUGGUUAGCAUUAUUCACUUGUUAUUGACACGAGUCCUCAAUCUUGGUUGUUACUUGUUACUUGACUGUUUUGCUGUAGAACUACACUGGUGACAAGGCAAUUGGGAAAGUGUGAGAAGUACUUCCUAGAGCUAAUGAAGGUGCCACGAGUAGAAUCGAAGAUGAGAGUGUUUUCCUUCAAGAUUCAAUUCGGCACUCAGAUAAUAGAAUUCAAAAAAUGCCGUAAAUUCCGCGUGUGAUGAGGUUCGUACUUCACAAAAGCUAAAAGAAAUUAUGAAAAAAGAUUCUUUACCUGGGGAACACAUUGAACCAAGGAACUGCGAGGGGCGCUGCAGUGGGAUUCAAGUUGGACAGUUUAUUAAAACUAAGCGAUACACGUGCUGCUAACAGCAAGAUGACUCUCAUGCACUAUCUUUGCAAGGUCCUUGCUUCCAAGGGAUCAGAUCUACUGGACUUCCAUAAGGAUCUUGGAAGUCUUGAAUCAGCUUCAAAGAUACAAUUGAAGUCGCUGGCGGAGGAAAUGUAAGUUGUCAACCUUUACUAGACCCCAAUCUAUUACAUUUGAAAAUAUGUUUGAUCUUGAAAUGUAUGUUAAUGUCUUUCUAAUAAUCAAUAAAUUUGAAGUUUAAUAACAAAAUGUUUAAGAUUUUUUUUUAAGAACCA